rnacentral:rRNA from 1 species
UGCGAAGGGGGCUAGCGUUGCUCGGAAUUACUGGGCGUAAAGGGCGCGUAGGCGGAUAUCUAAGUUGGGGGUGAAAUCCCGGGGCUCAACCUCGGAAUUGCCUUCAAAACUGGAUAUCUUGAGUUCGGGAGAGGUGAGUGGAACUCCGAGUGUAGAGGUGAAAUUCGUAGAUAUUCGGAAGAACACCAGUGGCGAAGGCGACUCACUGGCCCGAUACUGACGCUGAGGCGCGAAAGCGUGGGGAGCAAACAGG